GGGGGCGUUCUGGUUUCGACGGGAUGUUCGCAGUGCUGGCUGCACGUGGAGGUUGAUCGGCUGGCCUCCUAAAAAGCCGCUCAAAACAAAUAAAUGCAGACUCUAACGAGCUUGCCCUUGCUGCUUAAUUGACAGCAACACCUGAACUCAUGCGCACGCGGUGGGGGAUGGUGAACACUUAGCGUGCUGGCCUUGGCGUCGGGUAACCGGACACUUUGGCGAGAUCCACAGGUUUCUAGGAAGGAGAACGCGGCCGUCGGGCCUACGACUUCCGAAGCUUUAGACCGGCGGAUAAACGUGUAGAAGCCCGCAUGAAAGAUGUUUCGGACAGGGGUUCGACUCCCCUCGCCUCCACCA
rnacentral:tmRNA from 1 species